CAGCUGAUAGCAAUCGCUCUACCUACACCGGAGUUUCACAAAGAAAAUUACAAGACAAAAAUAAUAAUAAAGAGAAGUAAAUAAAUGUGCAAAAGGAAAUAAUCAGAUAAUCAUGAAAUCAAAACAGGAGAAGCUAGAAAAAAAAUUGUAUCUCAUUUGAUGCUACCAGAAGAUAAUCAUAUGAUUAACUAAAGAUUUGUAAUUGUCCAGCAGAAUCUAGAUCAUAGAAGUAAAAGACUGGAAGUCAGACUCAACCUCAGCCAUUACAGUUUCAAUG
rnacentral:misc_RNA from 1 species